GGUUCGAUUUCGGAGAGGGAGCAUGAGAAACGGCUACCACAUCUAAGGAAGGCAGCAGGCGCGUAAAUUACCCAAUCCUGACUCAGGGAGGUAGUGACAAGAAAUAGCAAACCGGGAACCUCAUGGUUUCACGGUAUUGCAAUGAGAACAAUUUAAAACCCUUAGCGAGAAUCAAGUGGAGGACAAGUCUGGUGCCAGCACCCGCGGUAAUUCCAGCUCCACUAGCGUAUAUUAAAGUUGUUGCAGUUAAAAAGCUCGUAGUUGAACCUCUGUCUGGGGCUAGUUUUGGCUUUGGUCAGGCUAGUUCUAGGCAUCCGCCUACAAGACUUAGAGGGCAUUCAGUUGUUCACUAGGAGGAGUAGGCAUUUUACUUUGAAAAAAUUAGAGUGUUUAAGGCAGGCAAUCGCCCGCAUAUAUUAGCAUGGAAUAAUAGAAUAGGACACUUUUCCAUUUCGUUGGUUAUUGGAAUCGUGUAAUGAUUAAUAGGGACAGUUGUGGGCAUUUGUAUUUAAUUGUCAGAGGUGAAAUUCUUGGAUUUAUUAAAGACAAACUAACGCGAAAGCAUUUGCCAAGGAUGUUUUCAUUAAUCAAGAACGAAAGUUAGGGGAUCAAAGACGAUCAGAUACCGUCCUAGUCUUAACUAUAAACUAUUCCGACUCAAUGUUUGACUGGCUUAUAUAACCAGUUGAGCGUUGUAUGAGAAAUCAAAGUCUUUAGGUUCUGGGGGGAGUAUGGUUGCAAAGCUGAAACUUAAAGGAAUUGACGGAAGAGCACAACCAGGAGUGGAUUCUGCGGCUUAAUUUGACUCAACACGGGGAAACUUACCAGGUUAAAACAAUAGUGGGAUUGACAGUUUGAGAGCGCUUUCUUGAUUGGUUGGGUGGUGGUGCAUGGCCGUUCUUAGUUGGUGGAGUGAUUUGUCUGCUUAAUUGCGUUAACGAACGAGACCUUAACCUGCUUACUAGACUGGCGAUCAUCAAUCGUUAGCUCUUCUUAGAGGGACUUUGGUUGUUUUAACUCCAAGGAAGUUUGAGGCAAUAACAGGUCUGUGAUGCCCUUAGAUAUCCUGGGCCGCACGCGUCAUACAAUGACUAGUUCAGAAAGUUUUCUCCUGACCCGAAAGGGGAUGGGUAAUCUUGAUAAUACUAGUCGUGUUAGGGAUCGAUCUUUGCAAUUAUAGAUCUUGAACGAGGAAUUCCUAGUAAGUGCGGUUCAUCAGACCGUACUGAUUACGUCCCUGCUCUUUGUACACACCGCCCGUCGCUUCUACCGAGUGGGUGGUCCGGCGAGAUAAUUGAACUUCGCAGGUAACUGAGAGGAAAGAUUAUCAAACCUAUCCACCUCGAGGAAGAAGAAGUCGUAACAAGGUU
rnacentral:rRNA from 1 species